rnacentral:rRNA from 1 species
AGUGAACGCUGGCGGUAGGCCUAACACAUGCAAGUCGAACGGCAGCACAGUAAGAGCUUGCUCUUACGGGUGGCGAGUGGCGGACGGGUGAGGAAUACAUCGGAAUCUACUUUUUCGUGGGGGAUAACGUAGGGAAACUUACGCUAAUACCGCAUACGACCUACGGGUGAAAGCAGGGGAGCUUCGGACCUUGCGCGAUUGAAUGAGCCGAUGUCGGAUUAGCGAGUUGGCGGGGUAAAGGCCCACCAAGGCGACGAUCCGUAGCUGGUCUGAGAGGAUGAUCAGCCACACUGGAACUGAGACACGGUCCAGACUCCUACGGGAGGCAGCAGUGGGGAAUAUUGGAAAAUGGGCGCAAGCCUGAUCCAGCCAUACCGCGUGGGUGAAGAAGGCCUUCGGGUUGUAAAGCCCUUUUGUUGGGAAAGAAAAGCAGCAGGUUAAUCCCCCGCUGUUCUGACGGUACCCAAAGAAUAAGCACCGGCUAACUUCGUG